rnacentral:lncRNA from 1 species
GAGAAUUUCAGGCGGAAGGAACCAUAAAUGUAAGGCCCAUUGGUUGGCUUAAGGGUAGUGUGUUCUAUCUGCAAAAGGCGACCUCCCUGAUUAGAUCAUCACAAGUGAUGGGGGAAGGUGGGAAGACUCCAAGAAAAAAAGUAGGUGGUACAGACUGGACAUAAUUGUUAAGAGGAAGAAAGAAGAGAAGGAAUAGAAUCAAACCAGAGAGAUAAAUUGACCGAGGUCCAGAAGUGUCCAGAAGUACCUAUAACUAUUUAGUUAAUAGGUACUUCUAAAACUCAAGUCUCCAAACCCCAAUCUCAGUGUUUGUCUUGUAGCAAACAAGUUUCAUCCUCAAAUUUGCAUUCUUGAACACAUGUUUUCACGUCCGUCAAGUACACAAACAUGAAUUCUUGCUCAACCAUCCAAUUAUCUAAUCUGCUCCCUUUACUCAGAAUAAAGACUUGCUGGCAGAGGCUAUGAGGGUCUGCUCAAUGCUCAUGUCAGUCAUUCUACAGUAGCUUCAGCUGCCUCAAACUUGCAAGUGACAGUCUGUAAAACAGCACCAUUCAAACCCACCAGAGAAAUGACGCGCAUUAAGGAUGCAAACUGGAAUGACAACAUGAAAUUACAGUUAACAUUUAGUGACUAUAUAUGCAUAUUACAAUAACUCAGCAUUUCAAAAGUAGGUAUUUAUCUGAUGUUUCUGUCAUGUUAAUAAACAAUUUUGUCCAAAGGA